rnacentral:lncRNA from 1 species
UGAGCGAGCGUGUAGUGACUUUGGGAGGCGCCGUGGCUUAACCGAACCGCCCCACUCGGCUGUCCCUUGUCUGGACCAAAACUGCUGACUGGCUGACCCUGAGGGCCACAUUUGCCCUCUGGGGUUUUUGAAAACCUUAAAUCAAAGUUGCUUUUCUCCCUGGCAACUCCCGAGGCUGCUUCCGUGGCCUCUGGGCUGUGGACAGAUAAGGACGUGAGUUGCCCCGACCAGGAGCUGUGGAUAGUAGACUCCGCUGAGUAGACCGUGAGCCGGAGUUGUGUCCGCUCUGGUGGCAGAGAAAGACAAGCCAAUGAUGCAGAGGUAUGGACAAGCUCGUGGAAGAAGAAACUACAGUUGACCCUUGAACAACAUGGGUUUCGACAGUUCGGAUCCACUUAUGUGUGGAUUAUUUUUUAUGAAUAUGGUACAGUACUGU